CGGGGGGGGGGGGGCGGCGGGCAUACACGGGGCUUUAGACAGAAGACCAUUCCUGACAGGCGGGAAUUUGACAAACUUAUGGAAUCCGGGUCCCGGGUAAUAGACUUUGGCCGGUUUUUAAAUCCCGGGACUCGGGAAUUUCGACGCCACAAAAUAAAAAAGGGGAGUAACUGCGAAAGGUCAAAAGACGACGGCGAUAUUUUUAUUCGUGUUUUUGAAGUUGCAGACAUGAAACUUUUCGAGUUUUUCUACGGUAGAGAAAAUUGUGUGAUAUAAAGGCGAGAAGGUUGCCCCAGAAUUAGGAUUUAUUUGCAAAGGUGAACAUUUGGUUGGACCAUUUGACGAGUGUUUCUGCCAAAAGAAAAAGAGGCAAGGCAAAGGCGUCCGAGACACGGUCUUUGAAAAAGGUUCAAGCUUCUAUCCAGGCCCAAGCUCCUAUCAAGGUUCAAGCUCCUAUAUAUCAAGCUCCCAUCCAGGCUCCUGCUCCUAUCCAGGUUCUUGAGGAAAGUGCACCAGAUUAAAAACAAUGUGGAAGUUUCCAGGUUUGGCCGCAGGAGGAGGAAGAAUGUCUUUUUUAAUGACUUUUUGUGUUAAAUGUUAAAAUAAAAUAAGAAGUUAAA